UACGUAGGGUGCGAGCGUUGCCCGGAUUUAUUGGGCGUAAAGGGCGCGCAGGCGGCUACGCACGUCCGUUGUGAAAUCGCUCGGCUCAACUGGGCGGGGUCAGCGGAUACGGCGUAGCUGGAGCAAGCUAGGGGGCAAUGGAAUUCCCGGUGUAGUGGUGGAAUGCGCAGAUAUCGGGAAGAACACCCGUGGCGAAGGCGGCUCGCUGGGACGGUACUGACGCUGAGGCGCGAAAGCUAGGGGAGCAAACGGG
rnacentral:rRNA from 1 species